rnacentral:rRNA from 1 species
UACGAAGGGGGCUAGCGUUGCUCGGAAUCACUGGGCGUAAAGGGUGCGUAGGCGGGUCUUUAAGUCAGGGGUGAAAUCCUGGAGCUCAACUCCAGAACUGCCUUUGAUACUGAAGAUCUUGAGUUCGGGAGAGGUGAGUGGAACUGCGAGUGUAGAGGUGAAAUUCGUAGAUAUUCGCAAGAACACCAGUGGCGAAGGCGGCUCACUGGCCCGAUACUGACGCUGAGGCACGAAAGCGUGGGGAGCA